UUUCUAGGAUGAGGAGGAAGGCAAUGUCUCUGUAGUAUCCAUCUUGGGUCCCCAUGAACAGCAGGGAUUCACGAUGACACAGCCAUCUACGAGCACUGGAGGCAACAAGAAUAAUAGAUUUGAGAGGUUUCAUGGAGUGUUGCUAUGUUGCAAAUUUUUAGCAGUUUCGACGGGUAGGUUUAUUUCAGCCACAAUUUUUUGUUUCCUUCUACUGAUUGGUUUGGAUGUUUAUGUGAUGCCCCUGAUGCUAUUUACUCUAAAUUAAAUAGGUAAGGACCCCUUUUCUUUAUCAGAAAUUUCGAGGAAUAUAUCAUAAGUAUAGAAACUAUAAUUUCUUGCGUGGUUAGACCAGUCUAACUAAUGUCUGCCUCAUGUAGAUUUAUGAUGAUUAUGUAUGAAGGCCCAGAAAAAUGUACCAGCUUCUAUACAAUAAUAGUUUUCAAAAGGAAAGAUAUAUAUACAACGGUUAAGGUUAUUCAGAUGAUGUGUUUCAUCCCUAGGGGGUGCUAUGGGUCAACACUGUAAUUCAGACAACCCAUGAACUGACUAUUCGUGACUAAUUGGAGGAGCAGGGUAAUGCUAACACAGCUAAGUUCAGAUAGCUGCACAUAACAUCUGCAACUAUAGAGUGCUUAAGCUACCUACAGGAGUUGAUGCAUCUUCAAAAAACACAAUCAUGGUUUGAUUACUGAACUUUACAAAUUUGAACUAUGCUGAACUUGUUGGCUUGCAAUUCUUUAGCCUUCAGUAAUUGAUCUCAAGUCUGUGGUUGGCUGGUUGCUAUUUUAUCAAGACACAACAGGCUGAAGGCCAACAAUAAACACAGUAGAUGCUUCGAUUUGGCAUCUGUACAUCAGCGAACUCUUGACCUAGACAAAUAACAAUGUAAUUUAUAGUUUACCUUUGACAAGAGUAUAUGAGCCUGAAACUAGACCUACCUUUCCGCCAUCCAUGCAUGGCCAAUAAAGGCGUGAUGCUACCAGGGUUACAUUUUUCUGUACAAAGACAGGCGCCCAGCCUAUAGCUGAGCAAGAUUCUUGAAGGAGGCAAGGGCAUCUCUAAUUUCCUAUGUCACAUGUUGCAUAGAAAUGGAGUUUGCUUCUGAAGCUAUUGCGAGCCAUAGAGUUCUACUUUUUCGGGGCAGCGAGGAAUCGUCCGUAAAAAAGCUGUUAAGGUUAUUCCAGACGAUGUGUUUCAUUCCUAAGGGGUGCUAUGGGUCAACACUGUAAUUCAGACAACCCAUGAACUGACUAUUCGUGACUAAUUGGAGGAGCAUGGUAAUGCUAACACAACUAAGUUCAGAUAGCUGCACAUAACAUAUGCAACUAUCGAGUGCUUAAGCUACCUACAGGAGUUGAUGCAUCUUCAGAAAACACAAUCAUGGUAGUACAGCUAUAUUACGUGUAGUUUUC